rnacentral:rRNA from 1 species
UACAGAGGGGGCAAGCGUUAUUCGGAAUUAUUGGGCGUAAAGGGCGCGUAGGCGGCUUGGCAAGUGGAUGGUGAAAUCCCUCGGCUUAACCGAGGAACGGCCGUCCAAACUGCUUCGCUUGAGACCGGGAGAGGUGAGUGGAAUUCCCAGUGUAGCGGUGAAAUGCGUAGAUAUUGGGAGGAACACCAGUGGCGAAGGCGGCUCACUGGACCGGUUCUGACGCUGAGGCGCGAAAGCGUGGGGAGCGAACGGG